rnacentral:tRNA from 1 species
GACCGGUAGCUCAGUUGGCAGAGCAUUUGGGCUAGUAUCCAAAGGUCGUAGGUUCGAUUCCCACCGUGGCCA